rnacentral:piRNA from 1 species
GAUCAUAGCAAUAGUAACUCUA